UUCCUGGUGGCUCAGAAGGUAAAGCGUCUGCCUGCAGUGCAGGAGACCUGGGUUCAAUCCCUGGGUGGGGAA
rnacentral:tRNA from 1 species